AGGCGUCGCCCGCUCCGGAGCACCGGCCGCUGCCGCCGGUUCCGAGGCCCCGUCAGCGCCGACCCCGCCGCGGCCGCUCUUUUGCUUGGUCUGGAAGUUCGCAAAAGUUAUGCACGAGGAUCUUAACUCCACUUCUGAGGUUUUUUUCUGCAAUUCUCUAAUGAUCUUGACCAAAAGUAUUAACCCCCGAUCCAAAGUCCUGCUGUUACUUGCUUCAACUACUGUUGCCACAGCUGCUUGAGAUGAGCUGUGUCUUCUGUUCCUUUGAAAAUUUGUUCAAAUAUGUAUCUUUAUACAUCUUUAGCGUGCCAGUGUCUCCAUGUUUAUGCCCGUCCCAGUCUGUCAGAAGACCCCAGUGCGGAAUCAUCCGAUUACCCCUCAGCUAUCAAGCUUUUUUAUUAUAAGUAGUUACUGAUUUUGCAUUCCUGUGUAAGCCCUCGGCCAGAAGCUGUUACAUGACAAUCCAGUUGCUCUCAGGUUCUCACUGGUUGUACUUUGCCCUCUUCUUUCAACAUUCCUCUCUCAGCUCUGCUCUCUCUUUCUAUUGACAUUUUUACUAUUGACAUCUCUGCUGGCAACCCUGCUGCUUCAUGUCUGUCUUUGCCUUGAAGGUGCCCCUGCCAAUGUACUCUCGGUCUUCCUUUUCCCAACUGCCAGAGGGUCAUUUCUGGCAUCCCACCUUCUUCUGUCUCUACUUAACUGCAAGCCGGCUUCCUUUGCCAUCGACCGAACAAUUGCAGUUUUCCGUAGCUGCUUCCAAAUGCUGUACAGUCUCUUGAUUACAAUUUACUAACAUCCCCCAAAGCAUCAGGCUUGCUGUUUGGCCAGAAUUCGAGAGGGAAGAGUUACUGGUUUCAGCUGCAGCCAGUUAGCUAAACUGCAGCCCGAGGACUCACCUUUGAGGCAGACCUACCCAGCAGGGUCUGGGCUUCGGAUGCAGCCCCCAGCCUAGUUUGAUGGAGUGAAAGCUGUCGUGGAUGACCAACAUAAUCUAAUAAACUCCUUUCUGUGUUUAAGAAACAUUCAACUAUACGGCUUAGUUUUUUAUGUAUUUGAGUGGGAUAAUGCUUCUGAUGUAUUUAUUUGUACAUAAUGCUUUCCUUUCCAACGUGUUCUUCUGCACUUUAGAAACACAGCAUUAUUUUUCUCAGAAAUUUUAGACAGCAGUAACUGUGAACAAAUGUUUAAAUUUUCUGAAACCAAGUAAAAUAUUAUUUAAAAGGUUCUCAACUCUAAAAAUGAAAUUAUGCUUACAGUUCUGAUUACAUACAUAAAUAAAUCUGUCAUCAGCAAAUGCAAAACAAAUUAUUGUGGAGAAUCUAGCUUAAACACAACCUGUCAUAGCCAAUUUAAUUAAAAACUGGUGUGUACCUAGAUUAUUUUCUACCUUCACCAGGAUGUGUCUGAUCAAAAAGGAAACCAACCAGGCAGACCAGGAAAUCGUGGAAAGACUGUCAGCUCCUUUGAGUGCUGUGUUCAAAUAUAUGUCUGAUCCAAUUAAACCCAAGUAAGUGGUCAAAAAGCUAUGGCAUGCUUUCCCAACAACUUCUCCUGUGACAAAACUUAGCAUAUGUACUUCAGCGAAGCACUACAGUUACUGAGAUAAGCAGACCAGACAGAAGUGUUACUAAUUCCUUUUCAACCUAUUUAAAUACACUGCCAUCACCUGCACUUAAUGUUGGGUCUUUUGCCUUAACAAGGUGACAUUAAAGCCUCAGUUCUGGAAAGAAGAAGAACGUAAAUGUGUUUUAAGAAAAUUAUUAGUUCCGUGAUCAAAAUAAAGGGAGGUGAUACUUACUAAAAAAUGAUAGCAGAUAAUGAAAAGCAGGAGGGAGAAAAAAAGCUUUUAUUUCAAACAGAAAUAAAAGUGCUGCUAAGAAGAGUUUGUCCAAACAGAAAUGCAGUAUCUUCAGUUUGAGAGCUAUAUUAGGAAACAGCUAAGCCAUACAAUCGGUCAGUUUAAAUAUGCCAUGGUUUGGACUAUCUCCAUCUUCAUAUCAAGUUCAGGAGUCACAUGGAUGAGUUCAUCCUACAAUCAGGGUCUAGAAAGUCUUUGUACUGUUACACGUAUCUACUUUAACUGUUAACUUCGUGUUCUGUAAAUAGGUCUCUUGAAAAGUAAAUGUCAUCCUACGGAAGGCCCUACGAGUCCUGGAAAGAGCAUUAUCAGGUUUGGGCAAAGGACAAACACUAUGUAGCUGCCCUACAGUGCCACUCGUUAUUGGGGGUGGGAGGGAUUUCAAAUUCUUGUGCUAAUUUAAAACUAAAGCUACAUCUCCCAAAAUCAUCAUCAUUAUAUUAGUUGUAUUAUUUGCGUGGGGACAUGAAGACACAGUUUUCUCGGUAGCUGCUGUAGGAGCAUGGCAUUUGCUUUCAGAGUACCUCAGCAUGACCCUGAACCUCCCCAUCGUCCCAACAAAAUGCAGGCAUUAGGUAUAUAAAAAACAGCUUUCCCAGCGUUAUUUAAAAAGACCUCAAGCCUCUGUGCGGGGGUGACAAGAGAGAGAAAUAAGACACGUAAGGUGUUUUAUAAAGAUAUAUUUUAACUUCUAAAGCACUCAGGAACCAUGGUGAUGAAUGUGACACAAACUUAAAUUGCUUAGAUAUGAGCUCUGAUCCACAGGGAACUAUCCUAAGAUUCAUAAAGAGCAUCAGAUGCUAAUAACUUCCCAUCAGCACCUACCUGGGCUUGAUUUAACUGGUGACAUACAGCUGAAAUCCCUUGAGACUGACUUUCAUUUAAAUGUCGACCACUGCUUUGACAGUAUAAAGUGACCUCAGCGAAAUUAGGAUCUCGCUGUAAUCUUACGCCAUUGGGAAGUUAAAAACAGUCUCUCACCCAAAUUGCUGGGCAACUGAUGCCAAAACAAAUUUACUUUUUUCCCCCAGUAUUUGCUUUUUUUCCCCAUUCAACAUUCUGACUGAUUUUGCAGGAAGCUUAUAGUGGCUUAUACACCACGGUGUUAAAACUAGUAAACAGAUUGCUAUGUUUGUUUUGUGCAUGCCAAGGGGAGCACAAAAGAUUAUUAAUUGCAGAACUAUACUGUCAGUAACAACCUUGAUCUUGCACCGGGUAUCAUUCUGUCACUGUCAGAAUCUGUCACUGUUGUAGGAGAUGUCUUGUAUUAUCUAUCAUGUUCUUGUGAGAUUUGCUGUUCACAAACACAGUUUGAAAACACAGUUGCGAUUUCAAGUCAUUUUUAUGUUCCUUAGUUUUGUGCAAGUAGUUUACAAUUAUACUCUAAAUAUUUUAAAAGGGAUCCAUUUUUCAGCAACCUUAAAAGCUUAUUAUAUAAUUCUAACAAUUUUCAUUAAUAUACGGACAAUUUGUUGCUGUCUAUGCAAAAUUAAGUUGCUUUUAUUUUUCAACUGCAGUAGCAGCAGUAUCCAGGCACUGUCCUGCACUUCAGUAAUGGAAAUUUCCCAGCCUCAAAGCGCACUCUGUCUCAGUCAGCUGCAAUAAAACUCUGAGUGAUUUCAA